rnacentral:misc_RNA from 1 species
GAAUUGCGAUAAGUAAUGUGAAUUGCAGAAUUACGUGAAUCAUCGAAUCUUUGAACGCAUAUUGCACUCCCUGGCAAUCCGGAGAGUAUGCCUGUUUGAGGGUCAGUAAAUAACAAAUUAUCACAAUCGUUGGUUGUGGAAUUGGGCCCUUAUUUCGAACAGACUUAUGGCCUUAAAUUUACGCCAUGUGCUUAAUUCGAACCAAACGGAGCAAUUAAACAUUCUCUCGUUAGACGGAUUACUCACAAGCAUUACGAUUUUUUGGACGACGAAAAGCACUCUCGCGAGCGCGAAGCCCAAGAUCGUAAAUUUAAUUGACAAAUGACCUCAAAUCAGGCAAGAAUACCCGCUGAACUUAA